CUGCAAGAAAUAGAGGGAAUAAAUGAACAAAGUCAGUCAGUUGGCAUUACCUGCUCCUCCUGUAGUGGCAGAGAUUCUGCACCACCUUGAACCCCUCUCAGAAAAUGGGAACCACUGUGGAUUUUCUGCAGGCUCUUCCAGGACAAGAACCAUAACAUUCAGAACCUGCAAGAUGAGUAAACAUGCAUUGGGUAUGAGAAUCGGCUAGAAAACAAAGGUAUGUACCGUUGGCUCCAGAGAAUCAUACAGAAUGAAAACUGUACCAGUGCAUUUUAAAGAAACAUUUGAAAACAAAAU